rnacentral:rRNA from 1 species
UACGUAGGUGACCAGCGUUGUCCGGAUUUACUGGGCGUAAAGAGCGCGCAGGCGGUCGUUCAAGUCGAGUGUGAAAGCCCCCGGCUCAACUGGGGAGGGUCACUUGAUACUGAUCGACUCGAAGGCAGGAGAGGGAAGCGGAAUUCCCGGUGUAGUGGUGAAAUGCGUAGAUAUCGGGAGGAACACCAGUGGCGAAGGCGACUACCUGGCCUGUUUCUUGACGCUGAGGCGCGAAAGCUAGGGGAGCAAACGGG